rnacentral:rRNA from 1 species
UACGUAGGUGGCAAGCGUUGUUCGGAAUUACUGGGCGUAAAGCGCACGUAGGCGGCUUUGUAAGUUAGAGGUGAAAGCCCGGGGCUCAACCCCGGAAUUGCCUUUAAGACUGCAUCGCUAGAAUUGUGGAGAGGUAAGUGGAAUUCCGAGUGUAGAGGUGAAAUUCGUAGAUAUUCGGAAGAACACCAGUGGCGAAGGCGACUUACUGGACACAUAUUGACGCUGAGGUGCGAAAGCGUGGGGAGCAAACAGG